UGCUUCUCUGGCAGCGGCGGGGGGGGAGGACAAGGACAUCAUUGGUACCUCGAGAACGACCCCCAUCAGAUGCGAAGGAAGAGAGGGUGGUUUGCACUUGUUUAUUGCCGUGAAGCAGAAUUCAGAACCCGAUAUCUACGAUAUCUACCCAUCAGGGCCCCAUCUCACCCCGGCCACCACCUCUUCACCCUGCUGCCCUCUGGAAGGCGCUAUAGAUCCACUAAGACGUGCACAUCCAGACUACUGAAAAGCGUCCAUCUGAACGCUAUCAAAGACCUGAACUCAUAAAUGACUGUUCACUGCAUCUAAAUGCAAGGUUCUGAUCUCCUGUCUUUCGCCGGCAUGUACGGCACAAAAGGGCAAUAUCCCUGGGACUCAUUGCGAUUAUCAUCAUUUAUUUAUUUACUACUAAUAUACUUAGACCUUGUAUAUACGUAUGCAUUGAAAAGCACUCAAUGGUUUAUUGCUUUAUAUAAAUGCCUGUGUUUUUACAUUGUUGUGUGUGUAUGUGUGGCUCAAUAUGCAGAGCAUUGUAUGUGUUGAAUCUGUUACACUGUAUGUACUAUUAAGGGGACACUAAAUGUCAUUGUACAUCUGAGCAAUGACAAUAAAAGGCAUUCUAUUCUAUUCCAUUAAUAAAACAUUACAAGCAGAAGUU